AAGGUAAAUUGCCUCAAAAAUUCUAAAACACAUAUUUACGUCACAUUCCAUUACAUAGUUUGUAAUUGUUAAACAUAUCACUUGAGAAAUAAUCAUUUACAAAUUUGUCUUAAAACAGGUUGCUUUGUGAUAGUGCUGGCAGGUACACUUUACAAUAUGGUUUCUUGGUCAGUUUGAAAAACCAUGUCAGCUCUCUAUUUAGGAGGAUAAGCUCAUGCAGACAUUUGAAAGGCACUACCCUGAUUUUGUUGGGCAGAGGUGGCAAAAGUCCAAACUUUAUUUACUUAAGUAGAAGAAAUGAAACAACUUCUUUACUCAAGUAAAAGUGGAAAUGUACAGGAUGUUAACGCUAGCCCUUUAUAUUAUAACAUAUGAUAACCUUGCCUUGGGGCCUCUGAAAUACACCCAGAGACUACAAGUGGCACAAUCAAUAGGGGACCUACCAUUAAUAGGUGGGACUGAUAUGAUUUAACCUCCAAAGCUAUUCAGGUUUGGUUUAUCUUAUCAGGGUUACGAGGAAAGACACCUGGACAAUUUCUAGGUAGUUAGUACUCCAGCUGGUGCAGGGGUGCAGCUGGGUAAGACCCAUAGGACCAGAGAUUAGGACCUUUUUAUCAGAGAACCCCCCCCAAAAAAGGUUCCUCUCCAAGGGUUGUUGGCCCCGCAGAUUGGCACCGGACUGUCCUUUGUCACUGAUUCUGUUUAUAAUCUUUUGGACAGAAUAUCUAGGUGCAUUCAAGGGCUACACACUUACUAGGUGCUGGGAUCAGUGGUCUCAGGGUAUAAUCUCUGAUUUUACCUCUGAUCUUACCGAAUUUCCCAAAGGAACCCACCCGAGGGAUUAAUAAAGUUUUAUCUUAUCUUAUCUGAUUUAUGAUUUUGUUGAUUUUGCAAGGCACUGACUUCCAGUUUGCACUAGUGUGGUGUGACACAGUUAGGAUGAGAAUUAGCACUUCCAAGUCUGGAAUGUCAGGAAUGUCAUAAGACAUAAAGAUUGGCCGCUAACUUUCUGUCAUGGUCCGUGGGAGUGCCUGGAGGGGAUUUUCCUUCUGUGGCUGCUGAGCCAUCCCUUUGGGGCGGGGACUUCAGUGCUUCAACUGAGCCUCAGCUGCGAGCAAUCAGCGGGAGACCUACUUCAGCUGACUCAACCGGCCCCUCCUCGCCAGUUUGUUCUACUCUUCUCGGUGCAGAGUUUCAACCCUGGCUUCACCUUUCUGGGACAGUCCCUGUCUCCCAGCCGGCUCGACCGCCUGCCCUCUAACCUCCACGCUUCAGCUUGAGACCCUCCAGACGCUUCCCACGGACCUCUCUCCCCUCCCCUCAGUGAUCCUAACCCGGACUGGCACAAAUAUCCUCUCGUCUCUCUGACCUCUUCUGCGUUCCUGCCACUAGCCUUUUGGGCCCCCCUUGUCAUUUUUGGCCACCUUUUCAAAUAAAUGUCACUGUAAGUAUUCCGCGCCCGUGUUUGUCUGCGUUUUUGGGUCCACUUUCCUGGGCAAACCUGUUGGUUCAUGACACUUUCUGCUUCUUAAUUCAGAUCAAACUGAGGUUAUUGUACUCGGCCCUGAAAGUC